UACUAACAAACUAUGAAAGAAGGUUACCACUCCCCUUGGCAAGGACAGAUGAGGCCCUCAGGCCUUACGACACACAGAAGGUUAAGGCAUUGCCACCUACUUUGUGGCAUCUAACCACAGUUUGGA
ensembl:snRNA U6atac minor spliceosomal RNA